UAGGUUGUGAACUUCUGAGAUUCAUGGUCCC
rnacentral:piRNA from 1 species